AGAUGAAUAUUGAGGUUGAGCCAUCAAGCCCAAGGUACUUUACUAAGUCGAGGAGAAGAUCAAAAUCAAGACUGAGCUAUCAAGCCAAAAAUCGAGGUGAAGAUUAAGACCAACGUCGAGUUACCAAACCAAAGAUCGAGGUGAAAAUCAAGACUAAUCCAAGGUGAAGAUCGAGGUUGAGCUAUCAAGCCCAAGGCACUUUACCAAAUCGAGGAGAAGAUCAAAAUCGAGGC
rnacentral:lncRNA from 1 species